rnacentral:misc_RNA from 1 species
GAGAAAUUGUAAGGUUUAUAUGUGUGUGUGUGUACAAAGGCUAAAAAGGACAUGCUUGAUGAGUAUGCAAUAUUUGAAUUAAGAACAACUUGCAGUGGUUGAAAGGUAGAACUUCUAUUCAAAUAAGCGUCCUGUUCAAUCACUGCAUCAUUCUGAGUUUCACCUUAAACCGGUUUCUAUAAUGAUCAUCUGUUUACGCGCAACU